UCCGGUUUAUCACCGGCAGUUUCCUUAGAGUGCCCACCAUAACGUGCUGGUAACUAAGGAUGAGGGUUGCGCUCGUUGCGGGACUUAACCCAACAUCUCACGACACGAGCUGACGACAGCCAUGCAACACCUGUCAUCGAUCCAGCCGAACUGAAGAGUCCUAUUAUAGACUCGGUGAUCGAGAUGUCAAAAGGUGGUAAGGUUUUUCGCGUAGCAUCGAAUUAAACCACAUGCUCCACCGCUUGUGCGGGUCCCCGUCAAUUCCUUUGAGUUUUAAUCUUGCGACCGUACUCCCCAGGCGGGGUGCUUAACGCGUUAGCUACGCCACCGAACCUCAAGGAUCCGAUAGCUAGCACCCAUCGUUUACGGCGUGGACUAC
rnacentral:misc_RNA from 1 species